ACUCAAAUGAAUUGACGGGGACCCGCACAAGCAGCGGAGCGUGUGGUUUAAUUCGAUGCGACGCGAAGAACCUUACCAGGGCUUGACAUGUACUCGCAACCUCCUGAAAGGGAGGCCUCCUUCGGGACGGGUACACAGAUGCUGCAUGGCUGUCGUCAGCUCGUGUCGUGAGAUGUUGGGUUAAGUCCCGCAACGAGCGCAACCCCCGUCCCUAGUUGACUAUCUAGGGAGACUGCCGGAAACAAACCGGAGGAAGGUGGGGAUGACGUCAAGUCAGCAUGGCUCUUACGUCCUGGGCUACACACACGCUACAAUGGCAGUUACAGCGAGAAGCCAUCCCGCGAGGGAGAGCAGAUCUCUUAAAGGCUGCCUCAGUUCAGAUUGCACUCUGCAACCCGAGUGCAUGAAGUAGGAGUUGCUAGUAACCGCGUGUCAGCAUAGCGCGGUGAAUAUGUUCCCGGGUCUUGUACACACCGCCCGU
rnacentral:rRNA from 1 species